UACGUAGGGGGCAAGCGUUGUCCGGAUUUACUGGGUGUAAAGGGUGCUCAGGUGGCUUUGUAAGUCAGCGGUGAAAUCUUAGAGCUCAACUCUGAAACUGCCGUUGAUACUACUUGGCUUGAGUAUGGAAGAGGUUGAUGGAAUUUCAGGUGUAGCAGUGAAAUGCGUAGAUAUCAGGAAGAACACCAAUGGCGAAAGCAGCUCUCUGGGACGGUACUGACGCUGAGACGCGAAAGCGUGGGGAGCGAACAGG
rnacentral:rRNA from 1 species